rnacentral:siRNA from 1 species
UACAGGUGUAUUACAUAUGGA